CAUUGCCUCUUGUACUAACAUAAGAGGUACAUCCUGCCCAGUGACUUACGAGUUCAACGGCCGCGGUACCCUAACCGUGCUAAGGUAGCAUAUAAUUUACCCUUUAAUUGGGGGCUAGAAUGAACGGACAAACGAAAACAUACCUGUCUCUAUAAUAUCAAAUAAAAUUAGUCUUUAGGUGAAGAAACCUAAAUAAACUUAUAAGACAAGAAGACCCUGUAGAGCUUUAUAUUUACAUACUUCAUAGAAAAAUAACCAAUAUAUUUUAUUAUCCUUGUAUACAAAUAUUUGACUGGGGCGGUCAGAGAGCAAAUUACCCUCUCUUUAAAUACAAGGUAUAUACACCAAAAACGAUCCUACAAUGAUCAAAAAAAAUAGCUACCUCAGGGAUAACAGACUAAUUUCUUCUGAGAGCACCUAUUGAAGAAGAAGUUUGGCACCUCGAUGUUGGCUUAGAGUAUCCCAAGGGUUGCAGAAGCUCUUAAAGGUAGGUUUGUUCAA
rnacentral:rRNA from 1 species